GUGCCAGCCGCCGCGGUAAUACGAAGGGUGCAAGCGUUGUUCGGAUUUAUUGGGCGUAAAGCGUGCGCAGGCGGGUUCGCAAGUCAGGUGUGAAAUCUCGAGGCUUAACCUCGAAAUUGCGCCUGAAACUGCAAGUCUAGAAUGCCGGAGAGGGAAGGGGAAUAUCUCAUGUAGGGGUAAAAUCCGUAGAUAUGAGAUGGAACACCAGAGGCGAAGGCGCCUUCCUGGACGGUUAUUGACGCUGAGGCACGAAAGCGUGGGGAGCAAACAGGAUUAGAAACCCCCGUAGUCC
rnacentral:rRNA from 1 species